GUGUUCUCACCUUGGCAGCACAUAUGCUAAUUUAGAAUAACACAGAAUUAGCAUGGUCUCUGGGCAUGGGUGACAUGUAAAUAAUGACAAAUCCUGUGAGAAUGU
rnacentral:snRNA from 1 species